GUAUUAGUCUCACUUUGACAGCACAUGUACUAAAAUUGUAACAAUACAGCAAAGAUUAACAUGACCCCUGUGCAAGGAUAACACACAGAUUCAUGAUGUGUUCCAUGUUUUU